GAGAUAUUUCAUACAGUGUGGCACUCCUGUUGCUGGGAACGACAACAGUUUAACACAUGAGAAGAUAGUCAAGCCUCUUAGAGCUGUGAGGCUGUGCAGCCCAUUUGGCAGAUUCUCCAAAUUAGGACAAAAAGAUAUCUUAAAAGUUUGAAGAUUGCAAGGUAAUUGCCCUACCUCUCCCUCUACCAAUGACACCAGUUGCUCGCAGCUCCUAAUCUCUAAAUGCUUUAGAUGAACAAUCUUGUCUAAACUAGUUCUAUCCUUCCAAAAAUACUUCAAUUCAUAACAAAGACAAAUCAUCAAUUCUUUAAGUGCCACCAACUCCUCUAUGUGAGCUUCAUGUAAACUUACAAGACCAAAGACGUUAUCAAUAUGCAAGGUAGCAAGAGAUGUGAGAUCAGACAGAUUUCUAAGAACAACCUCUUGACAGAAUUCAAUUGACAGUUCUUGCAGAGAUUGUAGACAGUUGGGCAAUUCACUAACAAGUUUCGGACAAUUUCGCAAUUUAAGCUUAUGUAGAAUAGGAAGUGUUACUGAAGCCUCCCCAUUCUGAUCAUGAGACCAAGACCAUUGCU
rnacentral:misc_RNA from 1 species